GCUGAGGAGGAGGAGGGUGUAGAGCUGGGAGGACUCGGGGAAGUUGCUGCAUGCUUGAGCGGGGAGGCAAGAGGAGUACACACGCUUUCAACCAAGUAAGAAGAAGUUCCCCUGUGGUCCAUUUAUUCCAAAAUUACAUGCCCUGCUGAACCAUUCUCUACUGCAGCCAGCGUGUCCUGCACCAGACAGGAUGCUGCAUUUCAUGGACACUGUCCUGAUUUCAGGAAAUCAAGUAUUUCACUGUCCCCAACACUGCUAGGAAGGAGU